UACGUAGGCAGCAAGCGUUGUUCGGAAUUACUGGGCGUAAAGAGUGUGUAGGCGGUGCUCCAAGUUUGGUGUGAAAUCUCCCGGCUUAACUGGGAGGGUGCGCCGAAAACUGGAAGGCUUGAGUAUGGGAGAGGUAAGCGGAAUUCCUGGUGUAGCGGUGAAAUGCGUAGAUAUCAGGAGGAACACCUGCGGUGUAGACGGCUUACUGGACCAUAACUGACGCUGAGGCACGAAAGCGUGGGUAGCAAACAGG
rnacentral:rRNA from 1 species